GGGCCCUUGUCCUUUGCCUGCUUGCCAGCAACCAGGACAACCUGUCUGUUCAAACCCGGCCACCUCGUGCAACUGCAGAUGUAAUAAUUCGGGGACUCAGCCACGACCACCGGUUCCUAGUAAUGGACACCCACCUCCACCACCAAGACCAUGCGGAGGGGGUGCAGGUCACAAACCAAAUCAAGCUGCAGGAAUAGUCGGUACUGUUACGUACACAG
rnacentral:lncRNA from 1 species